UGGGGGAUAUUGCACAAUGGGCGAAAGCCUGAUGCAGCGACGCCGCGUGGGGGAUGAAGGCCUUCGGGUUGUAAACUUCUUUUGCUCUGAACAAGGCGCACCAUGGGGUGUGUUGAGUGUAGGGGUUGAUUAGCGCCGGCUAACUACGUGCCAGCAGCCGCGGUAAUACGUAGGGCGCGAGCGUUGUCCGGAAUUAUUGGGCGUAAAGGGCUUGUAGGUGGCUGGUUGCGUCUGUCGUGAAAGCUCAUGGCUUAACUGUGGGUUUGCGGUGGGUACGGGCUGGCUGGAGUGCAGUAGUGGAGGCUGGAAUUCCUGGUGUAGCGGUGGAAUGCGGAGAUAUCAGGAGGAAUACCGGUGGCGAAGGCGGGUCUCUGGGCUGUUACUGACACUGAGGAGCGAAAGCAUGGGGAGCGAACAGG
rnacentral:rRNA from 1 species